rnacentral:rRNA from 1 species
GCUUGUCUCAAAGAUUAAGCCAUGCAUGUCUAAGUAUAAACAAAUUUAUAGUGAAACUGCGAAUGGCUCAUUAUAUCAGUUAUAGUUUAUUUGGCGAUAAAAACUACUUGGAUAACCGUAGUAAUUCUAGAGCUAAUACAUGCACUCGAGCCUCGACCGAGGCCCCGGCAACGGGGUCGCGGAAGAGGUGCUUUUAUUAGAUCAAAACCAGUCGGGGAAACGAUCGCCGGGUCAAACCGGUCGGUCGCGGAACCGUACCAAUUUUGGUGACUCUGGAUAACUUCACGCCGAUCGCACGGCCUUCGCGCCGGCGACGUAUCUUUCAAAUGUCUGCCUUAUCAACUGUCGAUGGUAGGUUACGCGCCUACCAUGGUUGCAACGGGUAACGGGGAAUCGGGGUUCGAUUCCGGAGAGGGAGCCUGAGAAACGGCUACCACAUCCAAGGAAGGCAGCAGG